rnacentral:rRNA from 1 species
GACGAACGCUGGCGGCGUGCUUAACACAUGCAAGUCGAACGGAAAGGCCCUGCUUUUGUGGGGUGCUCGAGUGGCGAACGGGUGAGUAACACGUGAGUAACCUGCCCUUGACUUUGGGAUAACUUCAGGAAACUGGGGCUAAUACCGGAUAGGAGCUCCUGCUGCAUGGUGGGGGUUGGAAAGUUUCGGCGGUUGGGGAUGGACUCGCGGCUUAUCAGCUUGUUGGUGGGGUAGUGGCUUACCAAGGCUUUGACGGGUAGCCGGCCUGAGAGGGUGACCGGCCACAUUGGGACUGAGAUACGGCCCAGACUCCUACGGGAGGCAGCAGUGGGGAAUAUUGCACAAUGGGCGGAAGCCUGAUGCAGCAACGCCGCGUGCGGGAUGACGGGCUUCGGGUUGGAAACCGCGUUCGCCUGUGACGAAGCGUGAGUGACGGUAAUGGGGAAAGAAGCACCGGCUAACUACGUGC